rnacentral:tRNA from 1 species
GCGAAGGUGGCAGAAUUGGUAGACGCGCUAGCUUCAGGUGUUAGUGUUCUUACGGACGUGGGGGUUCAAGUCCCCCCCCUCGCACCA